GCAUGCAGUAGAUGCCCUGGGCUGGAAGCCUGGCCUCAGGCUCGGAGAGCUUCCUGAGGAAAAGUGUGCAAGUGUGCAAUGGCUCACACCACUGACCCACUGCUCCCGGCCGACGACAGCACAGAAUCUGUGGCUGGCCAGGAGUGAGUCUACCUGGGAAGCUUACAGGGGAGAGAGGCGUGGUGGAAGGAAAGGUGCUAUCCUGCCCCCAGCAGAACAGAGGAAAAGGCACAUGAAUCCGCCAUAAUGGAAUGUCAUUUGGCCAUGAAAAGGAACAAAAGGUUUUUACAUGAUAUGACACGGGUGAGCCUUGAGAGUAUAUGCUAAGUGAAAGAAGACAAUCUCAAAAGGCCACACGUUGUAGGAGUUCAGGCAAAUUCAUACGGACAGAAAGGAGAGUUUGAGGCUGCCAGGGGCUGUGGCGAGCAGGGAAUGAACAGCGACUGCUAACAGAUGGGGAAAGUGUUCUGGCACUAGCAUGAGGAUCCCACUCUGAAAAGGU